CAACAGCAAAACAAGACAGAGCAAAUUAAUAAAUGAAAACGCAUCCAUUGAUGCAACUGCUGCCAGGGGUCCGAAAAGCUGCUGGCCUGUUGCUGCUGUCUUGUGUUUGUACCCAUUACUUGUACAGGGUAUACUGGACUGUUUGAAAAGUAAGUAAUAGAUAGAAGGCAGAAUUUGUCCGUCUGUCUAUACAAGCGUAUGUUGCUAUCCUUGCAAUGAGUGCGAGUAAGUGGUAUCUGUUAGUCGAGUCAUCGGACUUUAGCGUUCUCACUUGUUUGUUUUUACCAGCACGCACAUGUGUUGCUGCAACAUAGGCUUAAUUAAAGAAAUAAACCGCCUUGCUCCCCUUGAAUUCCCCUCCUGCAACAGAAUGUGUCGCUAACUGGAAACGGGAAUCCGAUUUCAACUUUGUAUUUUCUUUACUUUCCAGCACAGCAACAGCUGUUGUCGUAACUUGACUUUAUGACACAGCCCACCAAACCACUCCCUACUUUUGCUUAGUUUUUUAAUACUUCUGCAUUAAAAUAUUUUACGAUCGCUGCGUCUUAAUGAGUGCGAGUGCAGAAGAGAACUUUUCAGUUGGCUGCAUUUGAGGACACCAAGUCAAAUGAAAAAUGAAAAUAAUAAAAACCUGUUGCGUGGGAUAAUUUUGUAGGCGCCGCAUUCCCCAAUUUGCUGGACAAUUUGUAAGUGCCUGUUGCCGGGACAGGCACAAAUUGCAACUGCAACUGCAACAACUUGUAAUGGAGCAGUGAGUCAUGUUUGCGGGACACACAGCUGCAUGGCUUUUUUUUUUUGUUAACUUUUUGGGGUUUCGCCACAGGCGGAUGACUGCCAUUUUAUCCGGCUUGUGGUUUUGAGAUCUUGACCAGAACAAUAAAACGCCCAAAAGCACGAAUUCCCAUACCUGCUCAGCCCAGAAACUCUUUUUUUUUUGGCCACCUAAUGUUCGUGGUUGGGAUUUAUGAAUGCCUGUUUGUUUGACUUUUAUUGCACAAUUAGAAUAUGAAAUACCAAAUAAAAGCAAAUACAAAACUUAAGCAAUUUGAGCUUGAAUCAAGACUUGGCAAGACGAGAACAACUUGCCGAUUUGGCUUGAGCAAUUUUCGAUGUCUGCCAGCGGUCUAAGGCAAUUGUCUCAGAAAACUGAUGGUGAAGGGUCUGCGGAUUGGCUACAAAGAGCCCCAUGAAUUGUAUGCCAAAGGUCAACAACUGUGUUUGAUUUGGUAAAAGCAAAUAUGGCAAAAGCAAACAAUAUCCAGACAAUAUAUAUGUUGUAUCUUGCAACAACACGGCUCCUUUCGAUAAACAAAUUAGUAAAGCUAGGAAAAUUAAAAUUUCUAUUAAUGCAUGUUGAAUGUCUUAAUUUUAAUGGAUUUUCCAAGCCAAAGACUAACUGGUAUGCUUUUCAUUGAAGCUUGACCAACUCCGCUCUUAAUUCGGCCAAGGACUUAGUUCCUGAAGGAGCAGCUACUAAAUUUGCAGCUUCGAAAGAAUUUACUACUGGAGGAGAAGGAGCUGCUGAGGAGUGGCCCAUGUAUGGUGAAGUCCUUCUUGGUUGGUGGUUUGCCAAAAUCGAAAGCUUGGUAAUAGCGCACUUCUGUUGGCAAUCCAGUCGCAAACGUUCAACUUCUGGGUCACCGGAUUCGACUUUCUCAAUCAAAGCGGAGCUAUCAUCUAUUACCAUGUAGUUGAUGACAUGGGCAUGAGUUCCAGGCUUAAUGCGAUAAAGUGCUUGAGAUGGUACAUCUCUUUAAGAGGCUUUGGCCAUCGCUCCGCCAACUUUAAAAAUCCAUGUACCAGUGGCUUUUCCAUUACGUAUGGAGCGGUAACCAUUUCGGAGCACUUAGUCCUGGUUUUACCCAAAGCGGUGGUCCAAUUGCAGUUUUCACUGGUGUAGAUUUGCAGUGGACGCAGUACAUCUUUUUCCAAAACUCACAUACGUUGUAUGAUUUUUCGCCAUAGUUUAUCUUUUUUGUUUAUUUGCAAGAUAAUUUACUUUACCUUCCAGUACACUAAUUACCACUGACUGUAAAAUCUUUGGAAAACAAUUUUAUACAACUACUACUUCAAAGAAAACAAUCGAAAAAUCUAACGUAAAGUCUCUGUAACCCAUUUUUUCGGUAAUAAAGUGCCACAAUCAGUA
rnacentral:sRNA from 1 species